UGCUGGAGCGGCCGCCGGCGGGCGCGUUCUCCCGGGCCGGCGCGGCCGCCGCGCUGCGGGGCGCUCCCCUGGGCGGCCCGCACAGGGCGGGGACGCGAGCCCCGAAGCGGCUGCACCUGGUCGCACCCUCCCUGGGAGCCUCCUGGAGUGUGACCCUGGGCGCCCGCGAUGCUGCCCUUCGGAGACAAGACCAGGUACUUGCUGCGCUCGCCUUCCGCUCCCCGGCGCGGGUGGGGCGCCUGGGGCGCAUCGCGGGAGAUGCCUGGUUGGGAAGGGACAGCGUGACUUGCAGAGGUUUUGCUUGGGGUCUUAGAUCCGG
rnacentral:lncRNA from 1 species